rnacentral:rRNA from 1 species
UCCCUUCCCGAACUCAGAAGUGAAACGAUGUAUCGCCGAUGGUAGUGUGGGGUCUCCCCAUGUGAGAGUAGGUCAUCGUCAAGC